UGGGGAAUAUUGGACAAUGGGCGAAAGCCUGAUCCAGCCAUGCCGCGUGUGUGAAGAAGGUCUUCGGAUUGUAAAGCACUUUAAGUUGGGAGGAAGGGCAGUAAGCGAAUACCUUGCUGUUUUGACGUUACCGACAGAAUAAGCACCGGCUAACUCUGUGCCAGCAGCCGCGGUAAUACAGAGGGUGCAAGCGUUAAUGGAAUUACUGGGCGUAAAGCGCGCGUAGGUGGUUCGUUAAGUUGAAUGUGAAAGCCCCGGGCUCAACCUGGGAACUGCAUCCAAAACUGGCGAGCUAGAGUAGGGCAGAGGGUGGUGGAAUUUCCUGUGUAGCGGUGAAAUGCGUAGAUAUAGGAAGGAACACCAGUGGCGAAGGCGACCACCUGGGCUCAUACUGACACUGAGGUGCGAAAGCGUGGGGAGCAAACAGG
rnacentral:rRNA from 1 species